rnacentral:misc_RNA from 1 species
CCAAACUUGGUCAUUUAGAGGAAGUAAAAGUCGUAACAAGGUUUCCGUAGGUGAACCUGCGGAAGGAUCAUUAACAAACAAGAAUUAUCAAUUCUUAAACACCCCCCCGCGUACAUGUAACCGUUGCUUCCGUGAUGCGAACGCGCUGGGUUGCGGUGCGUCUGGCUUCACUUCAAGAAGGGCCCAUCACGGGAGUUGAGUGCAAGAUCGUAGCUGCCAUAUUUCCUGUCUGAGUAUAAGCACGGGAUACAUUCAAACUUUUAAAACUUUCAACAACGGAUCUCUUGGUUCUCGCAUCGAUGAAGAACGCAGC